UCGAAUUUCUAUGAUAAAGUGUUAACCUUUUCUCAAAUAAAGGUUUUGUGAAAAUUUGCUUUUUGAUGCUGCUCUAUGAUGAUUCUUUUUGCUUUAACCACACUGAAAAGAUGGGGUUGAGAAUGUGAUUUUGCUCUUCUUGAUUCAAACCAGAGAAAGAUUAGAUUUGAUCUCGGAGUUUCUUGAUGACACUUUGAUCUAAGUUGCUUGAAGGGGAUUCUUUUUCUCCUUUGUGGUUUAGAUUAAGGUAGAGAGUAAUGUCGAGCUCUUAUCAACAUUUUUCAUGGUUUGAGGCUUGAAGAACAUUCACGUUUUUCAAGCUCACUCAUGUGGACAACCUUGGCCCUUGUCUGAGAAGCAGCUUUUUCUCAUAUUCAGUUUUUCUAAAUUUGUUGUUUUAA
rnacentral:sRNA from 1 species